UAGCGGCAGAACUGUCCCCGAGGAUUCUACCAGCCAGGUAGCUUAACUGCAUAUCAUAUAGUAGAAAAAGAACUAAAUUGAAUGUACCUGAUUGCACGUCGCCAAGGAUAAAAAGGUGUCAAUCGAAUGUUGUCAUGUACACAACAACUCGGAAUUAAAUAGGUGUCCUUAGGAUCAGCUUACGAUGUCAUGAAAAUAACCUUGUGAAGUCUUCGGAUUCCUCUUUAUACUACAAUUCAGACAAGUUUAUUUAUAUUCGACCAAUGUACUGUUCAACUUUCAGAUAUAUUAGAUUUCAACGAGAACUUGCAACAUUGUUUCAUUUCUAAAUGUAAUCGUACAAACUGUAGAAUUUGUGCUAUACUUAUUACUGAUACCUAUUUUCAAAGUAAAUUUACAAUACACGUAGUCAGUAGGAUCUGAAUUGUAGUGCUUCUAAUAUUGUGAACGGUAUUGAGUGUACUCUUUGUAGCCUGAUCUAUGUUAGUGAAACUAUAUCGGCAAAUACUUAACAAAGGAAUAAAUUAUCACCGGUCUAUUGUUAAUAGUCAUGAGAACAAUAAAUUUCUGUAUAAAUACGUUCAACAGGCUGACCAUUCCAUUAUUUCUAUGAAAGUCGGGAUUGCAGAGAAAAUCGAUCAUUCAAUAAAUGAUCCCAUAUUACAGCAGAUCGCUUACAAAGAGAGGAUUUCCCGAUCCAAGAAUUGGAAACAGCUAUCCCUUUCGAAUGCGACGACAAAAUUGUUGGUGAAGAUAUUUUGUCUAGUCCCAGGUAUCAACAAAUUAAAUUAUUCAACACCUCUGUUCGAAACAGUUGGAGUCACGGUCAUCGAACAUAUACACCACCCGCAGUUCAAACCGUGUCUACAGAUGGUUCGUCAUUCUCUGUUCAUAAACCUUGUGUGAAUUCACUGUAUUAAGAGGACAAUAACACUUCUGUUAUUGAUAAAAAUUCUGCAAAAAAAAUGUACAGAUUGGUUACAAUAAUUAUAGACAUUGAUUACUCCAGUGAUAACUACUUUAAGAUGGUGAAAAAAUAUGAAGAAUUUCUAAGUGUUUGGAUGCCAUCAAUAUUAGCAAUAUUUUCAAUCAAAAAUCUGUGCAGAAAACAAUACCGGAUUACUUCAAAGAAAAAUUCAUAUACCUACACCAAACCUAUCGUCUGUAAGAUUGUCAACAACAAGAAUGUAUUUAAAGACCUUUACCCACAGGGAUGUAAAAUUUCUCUUGUACAUCGUCCCCAUGGAAAUUAAGUCCAGCUGAUUAUGUUAUAACUGGAGAUCUUGGUAUCGUAAACAAUGAAUUUCUUAGAGGCUUGUUAGCCAAAGGCAUGAAAUAUAGAAAUCCCUAGACCAUCAACUGGAGAAAGAACUUCAGGUUACCAAUGGAUGAAUUCGAGGACUGCUCCAGAAAAUGGGUAAAGCGCGAGCUAGUUGAGCCAAAACUGGACACUUUAUCUGAAUGGAUCAAAGCUGUUCGGUCAUGCAUUCAGAGAAACUUAUGAACAUGUUUAUUGUGGAGAAAAAAGAGAGGAAGACAAAGUAUAAACGGAGGAAUCAAUAAAAUCCAAAAUAAUUUUUGAUAAACAAUACCGGACAACUUUAUACGAAAUCAUAUUGGUAUGCAUAAGUCAUUAACAAACGACUUUUAAAAACCAACUAAUAGAUGCAUGUCAAACUUGGUAUUAACUUCAUUGUUUUCUUAUUUUAAUUUCUUUUCAGCAAAGUUCUCAUCCAAGCAACCUUUUGAAGACAUGGAAGAACGAACAAAUAUUAACCUUCAAAACUGAUACCAAAAUGUUUUCGUUUGCAACAAAAUAUGUCACAACAAAUAUUGCUCAGUUGUAAUCUUUAUUUAAAAUGAAUAAAUGUAGUACAUAA